rnacentral:rRNA from 1 species
UGAAUACGAGAUGCUACGGCGUCGAAGCAGUGUAUGUCAGACUUCCAAGAAAAGCUCGCAAUGUCAUAAAUAAAGAAUGCCUGUACCAUAACCGACACAGGUGGGUAGGUAGAGUAUACUAAGGGGCGCGAGAUAACUCUCUCUAAGGAACUCGGCAAAAUAACUCCGUAACUUCGGGAGAAGGAGUGCCUUCUUUAAGAAGGUUGCAAUAACAAGAUCCAAGCAACUGUUUAUCAAAAACACAGGUCUCCGCUAAGUCGUAAGACGAUGUAUGGGGGCUGACGCCUGCCCAGUGCCAGAAGGUUAAAGAAGUUGGUUAGCUUUUGCGAAGCUGAUGACUGAAGCCCUGGUGAACGGCGGCCGUAACAAUAACGGUCCUAAGGUAGCGAAAUUCCUUGUCGGGUAAGUUCCGACCCGCACGAAAGGCGUAAUGAUUUGGAUACUGUCUCGGAGAGGGACUCGGUGAAAUAGACUUGUCUGUGAAGAUGCGGACUACCUGCACCAGGACAGAAAGACCCUAUGAAGCUUUACUGUAACUUGAAAUUGAAAUUGGACUUUAUUUGCGCAGUAUAGGUGGAAGGCGUUGAAAGUAAUCUUGCGGGAUUAGUGGAGCCAUCAGUGAGAUACCACUCCUAUAAUGUUAGAUUUCUAACUUUGGAUCAUGAUCUGGUCAAAGAACAGUUUCAGGCGGGCAGUUUGACUGGGGCGGUCGCCUCCCAAAUGGUAACGGAGGCGUACAAAGGUUUCCUCUGAACGGGUAGAAAUCGUAUCUAGAGUGUAAAGGCAUAAGGAAGCUUGACUGUGAGACCUACAAGUCGAGCAGGGACGAAAGUCGGUCUUAGUGAUCUGACGGUGCUGAGUGGAAAGGCCGUCACUCAACGGAUAAAAGUUACUCUAGGAUAACAGGCUGAUCUCCCCCAAGAGUUCACAUCGACGGGGAGGUUUGGCACCUCGAUGUCGGCUCAUCGCAUCCUGGGGCGGUAGUACGUCCCAAGGGUUGGGCUGUUCGCCCAUGAAAGCGGUACGCGAGCUGGGUUCAGAACGUCGUGAGACAGUUCGGUCCAUAUCCGGUGUAGGCGUUAGAAUAUUGAGAGGAGCCUUCUUUAGUACGAGAGGACCGAGAAGGACAUACCUCUGGUGUACCAGUUAUCGUGCCAACGGUAAACGCUGGGUAGCUAUGUAUGGAGAGGAUAACCGCUGAAAGCAUCUAAGUGGGAAGCCCACCUCAAGAUGAGUAUUCUCAUC